AUUUGGCUAAAAUAGAACUUUGUAUUCUUCACAGUUUGAUAAUGUUUUUGAUUCCUUCUUUCCUAAAACUAGAGGUGUUUCUUUUUGUAUUCAAAACAUAUCCUUAUAUGGAAAUAUUACAAUACGAAACGAGACUGUGCAAAAUAUAUAUAAAUGCAGAACUAACGCUGCAUCAGUGGACAUAACAGUGCCAUCCCAUGUACGGAUAACAAUCGUAUAGCUACUAGUUUCAGUGAACGCAUCGCAAUAUGACUGGACUACUUCAGCUGUUGUUAUUGGUAAGCACGACCGUUGCCUCGGAGCCAUCUUAUCCAGCGUGCUCCAAAUAUGACUACGAGCAAAAUUUGCUUGAGAGAAUGAUCCGUAUGGAGUUCACUGUUGAGCAAGACCUAACGCGGCUCAAAAAUGAAAACAAACGCUUGUCUGCGCUCGUUGAUACCCUAAUGGACCAACAGGAACAUGCGUAGCGUAGACUGGUUUCGCGGAUUGAAGAUGUUGUGAGAAACCAAACCUACGAAAUCGCUACUCCACUGGUGUACUUUCACGCCCGCUCUCCACAGAGAAGUAGCCUGUCCACUGGCGAGGUGAUAAAGUACACGGUAGUGGAGACCAACCAGGGAAACGGCUACAGCUCCACCACGGGCAAGUUCACCGCUCCAGCACGGGGACUCUACUUGUUCUUCAUGCACACAUGUACGACUGAAGGUCAAGUUGAUCUUCUCCAGAUAGUGAAGGAAGGCUCAAUCCUCAUCGCAAGUCUACAUCAAGACAAGGAAGUUUCUUCCUGCUCUAGUAGUCAGGUGUUUGUACGGCUUGAUACCGGGGAAGCAGUCUGGGUACGAAGCUCCGAUGGGGGUUCGAACAGAAAUCUGGAUGAGGCUCAUCCUUACCGUUGGACCAGUUUUGGUGGUGCUGUCAUUCACAAAUGACCUGCUGAUGUCAAUGACCUUUAACACAACAGAUACAAUGAAAGUGGAAUAAAGAAUCGUAGUGAUUUAUUAGUUAUUUUAAAGAUAAAAUAUUAACAUCAUUUGAUAUAUUUCGGUUACUAUUUAUAUUUCUAUAUAAACAUUGUAAGAUAUCUUUUGCGUACCUCGCCAGCUCGCCAGCAUGAUAUUUCAUGUAUUUGUUCUUGUUAAAACUGCGAACACAUGUGUUAAAAUGAAAUAUUUGUUUGUGCUGUAACUACGGACGCUGUAUUCUAAUGAUGUAUGCUUUGUAGGCUCAACCGCUCUUUAUUUCUUAUAUGAUCAGUAAUGCAUGUAUCGUUCAAUCAGUUGUUUUAUAACCAGUGUCAUUAGUUUUGUGAAUUUGUGAAUAAAUUUGAUAACACUC